CAAAAAAUGAAGAAACUAUUGCUAAAAUGACGGGACCAAAUUACCUAUCAAUAUUAACCCUGAAUGUAGACGGCUUAAACUCAUCGAUCAAGCAUUAUCGAUUAGCAGACUGAAUCAAAAAACAAAAUCUAUUUAUCUGUUCCCUACAGUAGACA